UACGUAGGGUGCGAGCGUUGUCCGGAAUUAUUGGGCGUAAAGAGCUUGUAGGCGGUCUGUCGCGUCUGCUGUGAAAAUCCGGGGCUCAACCCCGGACUUGCAGUGGGUACGGGCAGACUGGAGGUAUGCAGGGGAGAACGGAAUUCCUGGUGUAGCGGUGAAAUGCGCAGAUAUCAGGAGGAACACCGGUGGCGAAGGCGGUUCUCUGGGCAUUACCUGACGCUGAGGAGCGAAAGCGUGGGGAGCAAACAGG
rnacentral:rRNA from 1 species